CACCAUAAAAAUCUUAAGGAGAUAAUUCUAUUAUUACAAGUCGUCACUUCUUUAGUUGAUCGAACCCACGCACACAAGUUGACAAGAAUAAGGAGAAAAUAAUGGUUGAGUGUUCCAUAAUACUAAUAGGUGAAAAUGGCAUCUUAGAAACAUACCGAAGCAAAGGAUAGAUGACACAAAUGAUUGGUCUGCCAACAAAUUACUCAUAUCUGUCUGGCUUGAUUGAUCUCUCGCACCUUCCUGCAUAGAUAAUUGGAGAGCUGCAACUAGUAAAGACAUGAAAUCAAACAGCUGAAGAGGGAAGAGGGGGAAUAGAUGAUAUUUGCCUAGGUGUAGUCGUGUAGAAGACUCUAAAAGUAGGGUUGUCAGAUAUUCUCAUUGACCUAGUAUUGACCUAGUGAACCGUAUAUUAGUACUUGCAUACCCAAACAUGAUACUCACGCGUACCAAUACUCUAACUUUAGUUUACUAAAAUAUUUCUUUAAUAUUUUAUCUAUAAUUGCACAAAAUAUCAAUAUUAUAAUAAUGGUCUCAUAUUGUUUAGCGAGGAGUAUCGACAAAUCUUGCUGAGAGUAUUGGAUUUAUAACUUGAAUGACAUUUAUACUAAAUUAUCUAUAAAACAAGACAACUAAAAAAAUUUCUGUAAACAUUGGUUUGCUACAUUCAAAUUCUAAAAGAAUUUCCAACCAUAAAAACUUAUAUAAAGUACCCUAUCGUAUCGCGUUUCAGCUAGACUACAUAGCUGUUCGUACCACGUACCGAACGAAUCACAUUUCAGGUAACACUACAGUCUAAAGUAAUUCAAGGAUCCUAUGUUCCAUAUAUAUGCUUUAGAUUCAGCAUAGCUAAGUAAUUGUAUGCGACAUGCUAGUAAUUUCAGGCCUCAAUUGGUAUGAAGGAAAAAAAAUUCUCAAAAAUGGUUAUCUCAUUACUUUAAUAAAUCUCUGAUAGUGAAAAUCUAGAAAUAUUUAUCGUAAAGCGUUUGUGGUAUGUGAAGAAUAUUGUUCAAAGAUCUUAAUUUUAGUCAAGUAGAUAAGCCUUAUAUAUUCUUUUACUAAUUCUUUGAGGGUGGAGAAAAAGAUUACUGCACCAUGAGUAAUGAAUGAAAUACCAACUCUACGUGAUAAAUCAUAAAUGAAAUAUGAACAAAUAUGUGCACCAAAGGCCAUAAAUUAUCAGUAGAAACGACAUUCCAUUUUCCACUCUCGAUUCCUAAAGAAAUAAGGCCUCAGUGUUUUGGGCAAUUUUCUGCACCCAAGAAAUAAAUUUUGGUAUAACAACAUGUAUGGCAAUUUCCUUCAGCUGUAUUCAUAUUAUCUGACUAUUAUAUUUCAGGUACUGAAACCACAAAGACGUUCUCCAGAAGUUGGGUGAAGCAAUGGGUCUUGCGGUUCUAGGAGAUGCUGACACUUUUGCUGAAACCUCUGGGUUAGAUGAAACUGAUGAAGUGGAAAAUGAGGAUGAAUCCAUUGUUCAUCACACUGCUAGUGUUGGUGAUGUGGAGGUAACUCAGUUCUGUGUUUACUCUUGUCCUAGGUUCCAUUGGUUCAUUACAACUUACAAAUGUAUUGACAUUUUUUAUAAUAAUUUUAAUCAAAGUCAAAAUGUGGAAGAAUUUUUUUCGUCGAAGUAGUAUGAACUAUCACUCCUCUCGCAUUCUUUUUCCUUUCUAACAAAAUUCCCUCUUUUUAUGGAAGUAAAAAGUAGGUGGAUUAACUAAUUGCUCGUCUUUUGUUGCUUGGUAAUUAUUACUAGCUUUUACCAUUUUUUUAGUUCUCGAGAUUAUGAGUUCAAGUACGUUAUUGGUUAUGAGUUUGGUUGUUUUUACAUACAUAUAUACUUGUUUAUCACAAUUGUUUUGUAUUUACUAUUUAUGUAGUUGAAGUGACAGAGAUUUAUCAUGAAGUACUAAACCAACAAGUUCGUUCAUCUUUUUAACUUGUUUGUACUAAACCAAAAGGGUCCUAAGAUUUCCUGUUUGUUCUUUCAUCAACAUGUAUGGAUCAACAUGUGAUUGAUUUUCAGUACAUAGCACGCCCUCUCCAUCACUGUAUGAUCGAGUUUAUAGGAAAUUAAAAGGAUCCCCACUGGAUAGGAAAGGGAAGUAUUCUGACAAUAAUCAAAUACAUAAUUAAAAUUUUGAAACCCCAUUUAAUUCUGUAAUCAGCACAAAGAUGAACUCAUAAUACACAUCAAAUGAGCUCAGCAUUAAACCAGAGCAAGAACAGCUUAACCAAAAAUUCUCUAAAUCCCCAAUUUAUACAUAACAUCAUAAAUUUCUUAAAUUGAAACCUAAAUAUGUGUGUAAGUUUACUUUAGAUUUAAUUUGUGUGUGAAAGCAAAAUUACAAGCUAUUUGUGCGUGUUAGUGUGUGUAAAAUUGGGAAAAGGUCAAAUUGAAUACUAACCGUUACCUACAGGUAAUAGAAGAUAACAAUGGAAGAGAAUGAGGCAAAGCAAGCCGCCGUUGUCGUCGAAAAUUGCAGAAAUUGGAAUUGGGGCUUCUGUUUUUCUAAACUAGGGUAAUAAUGAGUGGGAGGAGAGAAAGGGGAAAUAGAGUACUGAGGCGGAGGAGAGUGGCUGAGGAGGGUGAGAGAGGAGGAGGAUGAGGAGGCAGCAGGAGAAUGAGAGAGGAGGAGGCGGUAGAUCGAGUAUCAUUUCUCAAGUUGAUCGCUC
rnacentral:lncRNA from 1 species